UUUUUUAUCAUCUGUUGAGUGCAAUUUCAGAGUUAAAUUGCCAUAUUGGUUGAAAAAAUCACUGGAAAUGAAAACGAGAUUUCCUCAGCCUUGAAAUCAAGAUUGAAUCUGAAAGGGCUAAAGCCCUUCAAAAAAGCUGGUAAACAAGAUGAACUUGAAAUUUAUAUCUGUUUUCAUUUCUACCUCUUUUCCUUUUUCCUCAGUUUUCCCAUCUUUCUCUGUAUCAUGAAUUACUUCCAUGGUUAUGUCAUUGGAUCACGAGGUACCUGGUGCGUAUUGUUCUGAGUUUCCCUCUAACAUAUGCUAUUUCUGGUAUUUCUUAACAUCUCUCAUCCCAAAGUCUCAUGAUCAAGCUUUUCAGGAUUGUCUCUAGCUUACCAGAUUAUUAUAGUUUUUGAGUGGUUUUUAAUGUCAAGGAAGGAAACAAUAAAGUAUGCGACUAAGCUCAACAAGUUCGAGUUAAAUGGUAUAAAGGUUUUUUGCCAAUUUUACAUGUACAUGAAGAGAUACUGUAAAAAAUCGUCAAGGUUUAUUGAGAUGACAAAUGCUAAGAUAAGAGCAAAAGUGACUACAUCAACACAACGACAUCAUUAAUUGUAAUAGCAAUUUUUCGCAAUUGAUCAGUCUACAGAAGUCUCAUUGAGAUAAUGAAGAAAAAUCUGGCUGAUAUGAAUGAAAAUACCUAAAAGAUAAUAUGAUAUCCUGUUACAACUCAAAUAUUUUGCUGAAUAUUGUU